AUUGAACGCUGGCGGCAGGCCUAACACAUGCAAGUCGAACGGUAACAGGAAGAAGCUUGCUUCUUUGCUGACGAGUGGCGGACGGGUGAGUAAUGUCUGGGAAACUGCCUGUUGGAGGGGGAUAACUACUGGAAACGGUAGCUAAUACCGCAUAACGUCGCAAGACCACAGAGGGGGACCUUCGGGCCUCUUGCCACCGGAUGUGCCCAGAUGGGAUUAGCUAGUUGGUGGGGUAACGGCUCACCAAGGCGACGAUCCCUAGCUGGUCUGAGAGGAGGACCAGCCACACUGGAACUGAGACACGGUCCAGACUCCUACGGGAGGCAGCAGUGGGGAAUAUUGCACAAUGGGCGCAAGCCUGAUGCAGCCAUGCCGCGUGUAUGAAGAAGGCCUUCGGGUUGUAAAGUACUUUCAGCGGGGAGGAAGGGAGUAAAGUUAAUACCUUUGCUCAUUGACGUUACCCGCAGAAGAAGCACCGGCUAACUCCGUGCCAGCAGCCGCCGUAA
rnacentral:rRNA from 1 species